GACGAACGCUGGCGGCGUGCUUAACACAUGCAAGUCGAACGGGAUUUAGUAGACAGAAGCCUCGGCUAAAGAUUACUAAUGAGAGUGGCGAACGGGUGAGUAACGCGUGAGCAACCUGCCUAUGACAGUGGGAUAGCCUCGGGAAACCGGGAUUAAUACCGCAUAAAAUCGUAGAAACACAUGUUUCAACGGUCAAAGAUUUAUCGGUCAUAGAUGGGCUCGCGUCUGAUUAGCUAGUUGGUGAGAUAACAGCCCACCAAGGCGACGAUCAGUAGCCGGUCUGAGAGGAUGAACGGCCACAUUGGAACUGAGACACGGUCCAAACUCCUACGGGAGGCAGCAGUGGUGAAUAUUGCACAAUGGGGGAAACCCUGAUGCAGCGACGCCGCGUGAACGAAGAAGGUAUUCGUAUCGUAAAGUUCUGUCCUAUGGGAAGAUAAUGACAGUACCAUAGAAGAAAGCGCCGGCUAAAUUCGUG
rnacentral:rRNA from 1 species